UCAAUAAUCAAUACACUAUUGUUGGUCAAAACAACAUCAUUAAGCAAAAACUAAAAUAAAUAGUUAGUAAUAAGGUGAUUGCAUUCAUCUGACUUCAUGUGUUUACCGUUUUUAUUUUUCUUCUCUUAUAACGCAGAUUUGCCAUGAUUUUUCUCUCGUCUCCGGGCUUCCCCUGGUAACCCCCGUGUUUCACGUCAUACCGCUAUUAACUGUGGGCAAAGGCGGACUUAAGGAUCUAAAAAGGGCUCAAAAUGUCGGCGAGAGAGCCCUCGCGCUGCGCACUUGACGAUUUGACAGUGGGACAGCCCUAAGCCCUCACGGACUUCCAGGGAACGCGCCUCAAAGGGCCUUUCCGAAACUAGACCCUCACUUAAACUCUGGUCGAAGUCACCCUCCAGGUCAAAUCGACCUCCCUAACCCGCGUAGGGUCAACUUUCGGACGAACUACCCUCUCUCCCCAGCAUAAAUAGAAUCUGACGUUACCGCUGCUCUCACUGCUAUAAUAGCCUAAGUGUAUCAAAUAAACAACAGUGGUAUUAAGAUUCAGGAUUGAUGUUGAGGAAAAGUGUGGUUUUUGCAAUAACGAAAUUGAAAGCAUUUGUCAUUCAUUUUGUGGUUGUGUUCGUGUCGAAUAUUUCUUUAAGAACAUGACUUUAUAUAUUUACGAAAAAUAAAUAUUAUAUUCUUUUAUGAAAAGAUUGAUAUUCAUUGUAAAGAAAGGCCUAUAUAUUUGAACAUCUUUAGCCUAUAUGAAAAAUGUUACAUUCACAAAUACAACAUUUCAGUAUAAAUCAUAUGUGCUACGUUGUUAACCUGUGAAUGGUGACGUGACAAUGUUAGUGUAGUUUCGAAAUAAAAAAAUUCUACAUGUUAACCGGCGAAGUCACACGGAACGCAAAAUGAAAGAAAGGUCCCCCAUCGUGCAGCAAAGGGUGUUACACACCUUCAACAAGCCAGCAUCGGUGCUGACUCGGCAUUUGAGUUUAACAACCCACUACCACUCCGCCCUCAUUGGUUUCAGAUGGCACUCAAUGUGGCGGACCCUCCGCAUGAAAGUAUGUAGGGAGAGGGAGUAGCAAGCAGUUUCGGAAAGGCCCAAAUUCUGUGAGUCUGUGAGGGUAGACAUUGGGAUUGGGCAUAGGAGUGCGGAGCCUUUUUUUUCUCACUAUACUUUUCAUCACAUCUCCACUAGAUGGCAGCAAAGUAUUGGCGAUCGUGGAGUAAAUGAGGAUGUGUGACAUCUGGAAGCGCUCAGAAGGCAGGACUGAAACCUCCCCCCUUGUCGUUUUGCAGGGCACAAACAUCAAAGGAGGCGGCAGAUAAUGUUGUGUCUCCCGCAAAGACACUUCAGCGAGGAGCCACCACCGCUGCAGUCUCAAACCCGGGAGGUUUUCAGGAGGUUCUCGGGAGACUAAUGUGGAUGAUGUGGCGUUUCUGAACACAAGUAGGACAGAAUGUAGUUUUUAGUGAGAGUGGGGAUGUCACAACCGUGCCGCACCAACGCCAGCGACAGGCAGGCAAGAACCCCAGUAGCCAAUAGCGGUGGGAGUGAAAAAAAAAGUUGACUCCCAGACGGAUCGCAACGCAAACACAGAAGACCCCAACCCGACCAACAAACAGCAAAGACACCAGCACCAGCGAUACAAAUGUCAGUCGACAACGUAAUGCCGUCGGAAAGCAAAAGGCGGAACCCGCAGAAGAGCAGCACCCGGACCGACCGCGGUGCGCACACAACAGAGACCAGCCCCCCCCCCCCACGCGCCCGGCACCCCACUGCCGCAAAACAAACAACCAAAACACCACGCAAUCAUCAACAUCAACCCGCAAGUGACGCCAACAACCCGCACACUGUGCGAGCACAGUGACACCCAACACCCGGCAGUCCCCUGCGUAUUCUGCGCGCAAGGCCGAGCAAAUGAGAGAAAGCAAGCGGCAGAACACAACGGCAAAAGCCAGCGGAGAAAAACACUAUCAGCAAGUCCCAGCCCGCCAUUAAUGCACCACCCAGGCCAUGGUGCACAUGCCAAUAAAAGUCCACUGCCCCCCCAACCGCCGGAGACAUGGGGGCCGCCAGUGCCAGCCCAGCAUCCCGGCCGCCUCCGGCCAUGCAACGCCAGCCAAACAAGCAACGAGGACCCUGCCUAGGGACAGAGGGGGCCCCCACGGCCCAUACCAGCAGCCCCACUCACACCCAGGCCAGGCCAGAGGCCUACCAGCCCCAACCCCCCACGCCCCUCCUCCACCCAGAAGUGAAGCAUCCCCCACACACACCCCCACCAUGACCAAAGAAAAGAGACAGCAGUAACAACCCUCAGCCCCAGGACGCCACCAGAUGCACCGAGCCCCUAGUACCCACCUAGGGGUGGGAAUCUCCCGGCCCCCCCAUGACCCGACCACAAACUAAACCAUCGACGCACCCCAACGCACAAUCCUCCCCCACACAGGAUCUCCAGACGAUCACCAAGCAUCCAAUCAGAGCACCAAAAUCCAAAAGAAACACCCCCCAACCAGCUCAAAAGGACCGUAGAAACAUGACGACGCAACAUGGCAACAUCCACGGAAGGGGGGACCCACUGUUAUGGAGAUAUAAAUGGCUCAUUUUUAAAAAUUCCUCCCUUCUUUUAAAAGGUUGAAAUGUUUUAGAGCUAAGACAGCCAAGAUAGUUCUUCAGUAUUUGUUCUAGUUCUUUUGGUUGUAUCACACAAUCUUCCUCGGCAGCUCGAGUUGGCCUAGUUGUCAUGGAAUUGUAGAUGCUAAAAUGUUGUAAACUUAUCGAAACUUACCCAAAUACGUUCAAUCCAGCAAAAUGUUGUUCAUUUUGUUUUUUAAAGUGAAAGCCUUCCAAUUUAUUGAAAGAUGAAAUUGUAACCAUCAU